GACGAACGCUGGCGGCGUGCUUAACACAUGCAAGUCGAACGGAAAGGCCCUGCUUUUGUGGGGUGCUCGAUUGGCGAACGGGUGAGUAACACGUGAGUAACCUGCCCUUGACUUUGGGAUAACUUCAGGAAACUGGGGCUAAUACCGGAUAGGAGCUCCUGCUGCAUGGUGGGGGUUGGAAAGUUUCGGCGGUUGGGGAUGGACUCGCGGCUUAUCAGCUUGUUGGUGGGGUAGUGGCUUACCAAGGCUUUGACGGGUAGCCGGCCUGAGAGGGUGACCGGCCACAUUGGGACUGAGAGACGGACCAGACUCCUACGGGAGGCAGCAGUGGGGAAUAUUGCACAAUGGGCGGAAGCCUGAUGCAGCAACGCCGCGUGCGGGAUGACGGCCUUCGGGUUGUAAACCGCUUUCGCCUGUGACGAAGCUUGAGUGACGGUAAUGGGUAAAGAAGCACCGGCUAACUACGUG
rnacentral:rRNA from 1 species